UACGUAGGGUGCAAGCGUUAAUCGGAAUUACUGGGCGUAAAGGGUGCGCAGGCGGUUGAGUAAGACAGAUGUGAAAUCCCCGAGCUUAACUCGGGAAUGGCAUAUGUGACUGCUCGACUAGAGUGUGUCAGAGGGAGGUGGAAUUCCACGUGUAGCAGUGAAAUGCGUAGAUAUGUGGAAGAACACCGAUGGCGAAGGCAGCCUCCUGGGGCAUAACUGACGCUCAGGCACGAAAGCGUGGGGAGCAAACAGG
rnacentral:rRNA from 1 species